CUUGCACAGUCGCGCCUCCAAAUUCCAAACCCGGUGCACAACUGUAAGUUGACAUCAGACACCAAAUGCAACAUCAAAUGCACCGGCUGCUCCAGAGGGACUUCUACGGAUGACACGCACAACAGCAGCACACAGCGCAACACGGCUCCUUCGGUGCUUGCAAUCUCUUCCAGCCAGUGUUCUACUGAUUUGAAAUGGUACUAUUCUAUUCUAAGAAUUUGGUAUAUAUGGUGAAGGACCGGUACCAAACUAUCCCCUCUUUCUCUGGCAAGGUGGCAUUUGGAAUAAAAAAAAUGCUUGCCUGCUUGAAAAUCCAAACUAUCCCCUCUUUCUCUAUAUGUGCAUCCCUUUUAUGUUGUUGUCCUCCAGAUUACUUUGUAUGUUUUGUCCCUAUAGAUUUCACAAUGACUUAAUAAGUUAUCUCAUUCUCAUGAUGAUUCUGUUUUCUACAUAAAUUUAUGUGAAAUUCUGCUUCAUUUGAUUUUGCUUUUGUUUUCCUUUCCUUUCCUUUUCUUUUACUUUUCCUUUUUUUCCUUGUUUUUUUUGGUUGUGGGGGUAUCUAACUAAUUUCAAUGACAGAGGAUGGAAUGAAGUCGGGAUUGAGGCUUGAGGGAAGAAAACUGAAGGAAAACAAGAAAUAGCUAGCGAAGUAGGAUUUCAAGGAAUUAACGCUGUCAUGUAAUUUUUCCCCUAGAACGUUUUUGCUAUGAGUUUUUUCCCUUAAACGAUAUUUGUUUUUUUGCUACGGAACUACAUUUGGCGUCAAUUCUAGGGGACUAAUGUGGUAUCAUUUUCUGUCAUGACACUGUUGUGGUAUCAAUUCUGCAUUUUCAAUUAUGAAAAAGUUCUUCAUUU